rnacentral:tRNA from 1 species
GGAGAGAUGGCUCAGCGGUUAAGAGCACGGACUGCUAUUCUGAAGGUCCUGAGUUCAAAUCCCAGCAACCACA